rnacentral:tRNA from 1 species
AGCUGCGCGAGCUUCAGGCCUGCAAGGCCGCUGCUCUUGGCGGGAGCUGCCGGUGAUUCGGCAGCAGAAGAUGAUAGUUCCACAGCUGGCGACAGCUC